AUUGAACGCUGGCGGCAGGCCUAACACAUGCAAGUCGAACGAGUGGCGGACGGGUGAGUAAUGUCUGGGAAACUGCCUGAUGGAAGGGGAUAACUACUGGAAACGGUAGCUAAUACCGCAUACCCUCGGAUUCGCCCCGAUGGGAUUAGCUAGUAGGUGGGGUAACGGCUCACCUAGGCGACGAUCCCUCGCUGGUCUGAGAGGAUGACCAGCCACACGGGAACGGUGACACGGGCCAUAAUCAUACGUGAGGCAGCAGUGGGGAAGAUUGCACAAUGGGCGCAAGCCUGAUGCAGCCAUGCCGCGUGUAUGAAGAAGGCCUUCGGGUUGUAAAGUACUUUCAGCGGGGAGGCGUUACCCGCAGAAGAAGCACCGGCUAACUCCGUGCCAGCAGCAGCGGUAAUUC
rnacentral:rRNA from 1 species